AACGAACGCUAGCGGGAUGCCUCAAACAUGCAAGUCGUACGAGAAAGGUCCUUCGGGAACGAGUAAAGUGGCGCACGGGUGCGUAACACGUAGCUAACGUACCUCUUCGCUGGGGACAACUCCGGGAAACCGGAGCUAAUACCGAAUGAUCUAAUACGGUCUGCGGACUGUAUUGGUAAAGCCUUCGGGCGCGAAGAGAUCGGGCUGCGGUCCAUUAGCUUGAUGGUAGGGUAACGGCCUACCGUGGCGACGAUGGAUAGCUGGUCUGAGAGGAUGAUCAGCCACACUGGAACUGACACACGGUCCAGACUCCCACGGGAGGCAGCAGUUGGGGAUAUUGGACAAUGGGGGUAACCCUGAUCCAGCAAUCCGCGUGAGUGAUGAAGGCUCUAGGGUCGUAAAGCUCUUUCAGCAGGGAAGAAGGGAAACUUGACGGUACCUGCAGAAGAAGCACCGGCU
rnacentral:rRNA from 1 species